rnacentral:rRNA from 1 species
AGAGUUUGAUCCUGGCUCAGGAUGAACGCUGGCGGCGUGCUUAACACAUGCAAGUCGAACGGUGAAGCCCAGCUUGCUGGGUGGAUCAGUGGCGAACGGGUGAGUAACACGUGAGCAAUCUGCCCCUGACUCUGGGACAAGCAGACUGGAAACGGCGUCUAACUCACUGGAUAUGAACCGUGGAGGCAUCUUCAACGGUUGGUAAAGAUUUUUUGGUCAGGGAUGAGCUCGGCGGCCUAUCAGCUGUGUUGGUGAGGUAAUGGCUCACCAAGGCGUCGACGGGUAGCCGGC